UUAAAUGAUUAAUUUUGUUAAAAUCUUUGAAAGAUUGAUAUAUUGACAUUUUGUUUCUUUGAGUAAUUUGGUGACAAUGUUUGAAGGACUAUCGCAUAUACUUCAAAGGAAAAACUUGAUGGUUUUCUCCAUUCUUCCUACUAAGACUGCCACCAUAAGGCACCCUGUUACCUCUCAGAUGACUGUUUAUUUCUUAAGACAGCAAUGUAAAGAUGUAGGGUAUGAUAAUAGCAAGGCAAAUUGAAAUAGAAUAUGUAUAUUAUUAUUUCAUUGAUCCUUUGCAUGAUAUAUAUAAUACAUGUACAAGAAUGUUCUAUACCAAUUCUAAGGCAUGACAGACGUGAUCCAUAAUCAGUGGCAUCUGAUUUAUUCUAUGCAUUAUAAGGUAAAUAAAUAUAGAAUCAAGGUAACAUAGGAAAGUAAAUAUAUACACAGCAUAUUUGCAAUCAUGUAGAAGAUAUUUCCUAAUACUCCCCCUCAAGUUGGUGAGUGAAUAUCGUGAAGUCCCAACUUGUUGCGCAAUGUCACAAAUUGAUCUUUUCCCAAAGUUUUUGUAAACACAUCUGCUAGCUGGAAUUUUGUUGGCACAUAAGAAGGAUUGAUCAUCCCAGCUUGUAGUUUUUCCCGUACUAUAUGACAAUCAAUUUCAAUAUGUUUUGUACGCUCAUGAAAUACAGGAUUCGCCGCAAUGUGUAGAGCUGCCUGGUUGUCACAGAAUAAUGGUGUUGGAGCAUCUUGUGGGACUUUUAAAUCUUGUAAUAUGAACCGUAGCCAGGUCAACUCCAAGCAUGUAUUAGCCAUAGCUCGAUAUUCAGAUUCGGCUGAUGAUCUAGAGACGACAACUUGCUUCUUAGACUUCCAUGAGAUGAGAGAAUUUCCAAGGAAAAAGCAAAAUCCUGUAACAGAUUUUCUAGUGGCAUGACAACUUCCCCAAUCUGAAUCACAAAAAGCCUUUAAGGUAAGGUCAUUAGCAGAUGAAAAUAGUAAGCCCUGUCCAGGUGUGCCUUUGAUGUAUCUGAGGACUCUCAAUGCAGCAUCCCAGUGAGGCUUUCUUGGCUCAUGCAUGAAUUGACUCAAUGUUUGGACAGAAUAUACAAUGUCAGGUCUUGUGACAGUAAGGGCGAGCGCCUGUCAGUCCCGAAUCUUGCAAAAUGUCUAGAGCAUAUUUUCUUUGAGACAUGAAGAUACCUUCUUUGGAACGAGAAAACUCAAUGCCCAAAAAAUAUUUCAAAUCUCCAAGAUCUUUGAUACGGAAACGCUUGAGAAGAAACUCUUUAAGGCGUUUCAUUUCUUGAAGAUCGUUGCCCGUGAGAAGUAUGUCAUCAACAUAAAUAAGAACAAUUGUGAGUGAAGUACCUUGAGAUUUGAUGAAGAGGGAGUAGUCAGCCUUUGAUUGUUGAUAACCAGCCUUUUGAAUGGCUUCAGAAAAAGUAGAGAACCAGUUUCUUGAUGCUUGUUUGAGUCCAUAGAGUGACUUAUUGAGCCGACAUACAACGUUCUCCCCCUGUCGGCGAAGACCAGGUGGAGGCUCCAUGUACACUAACUCAUGCAAAUCGCCAUGAAGAAAGGCGUUUUGCACAUCUAAUUGGUGUAUGAACCAAUUACGAGCAGCUGCAACAGUGAGAAGACAACGAAGAGUAGUGACCUUGGCAGUAGGGGAAAAGGUUUCUUGAUAGUCAAUGCCUUCAACUUGAGUAUAUCCCUUAGCAACAAGGCGUGCCUUAUAGCGCUCUAUCGUGCCAUCAGAUUUGUACUUUAUUUUGUAUACCCAUUUGCAACCAAUGGGCUUAUGACCAGAAGGAAGAGGUACAAGGCUCCAUGUGUUAUUUUGUUCUAAUGCUUCUAAUUCUGCAUUCAUUGCAUCUUGCCAAUGUGGAUCAUGGACAGCUUGAUCAUAGGACUGUGGUUCUGUGUGGGCUGUAAUGUUAGCUAAAAAAGCACAAUGUGAAGAAGAAAUGCGUGAAUAUGAAAGGUAAUGUGAAAGAGGAUACCGAGUACCUGACCCAGAAGUUGGCUCUGAGGGAGAUUUAUUGACUUGUGUGGACAUGUGGUAGUCUUUAUGCCAUAUCGGGGGGUUCUUGUCACGGAGAGACUGCCGAACUUGGGGAAUGGAGGGAGUUGGAGUGUUUGAAGUGUGGGAAGUAGGUAGAGUUGGUUCAACUAUAGGUGAGGCAGCGGAAGAUGUUUCGGUAGUUAGGUGUGAAGGAUAAUUUGGCUCAUGUGCAGAAGGUAUACCAGUUUGUUGUGAUUGAUGAUGAGAUGGAGAAGGCCAAUCAUCAAUGGCCUCAUAUGAAGGAUGAGAUGAAGUUAGGUUGGGUUCAGAUGUGUUUGGAAUGGAAGGAAAAUUGGUUUCGCAAAAUUUGACAUCACGACUCACAAAGAAAGUCUUUGUCUCAGGAUCAUAAAUUUUAUAACCUUUUUGACCAGUAGGAUAUCCAACAAAGAUACCCCUUUUUGCACGAGGAUCAAAUUUAUGUGUAGGUUGGACAAUAGUAGCAUAACAUAAGCAACCAAACACUCUCAAGUGAUCAAAUGAUGGUGGCUUAUUGUAUAAUAAUUCAAAAGGUGAUUUGUUGGAUAACAAUAGGGAUGGCAAACGAUUUAUAAGGUAAACAGCAGUUAAUACACAUUCUCCCCAAAAUGCAAGAGGUAGAUGAGAAUGAAAUAGUAAUGCUCGUGCCACAACUAGAAUAUGACGAUGCUUGCGUUCUACAACUCCAUUUUGUUGUGGUGUGUAAACGCAAGUUCGUUGAUAUUCUAUCCCAUGAGAUUGAAAGAAUUCUCUCAUGGACAUGAAUUCAGAACCAUUGUCAACUCUAAUUGCUUUAACAGUAGCUUGAAAUUGGGUAUAAGCAAAAUUAAUGAAGGAUUUCAAAAUAUUUUGAGAAUCUGAUUUGUAUCGCAUAAGAAAUACCCAUGUGCAUCUUGUAAAAUCAUCGACAAUAGUUAAAAAAAAACGUGCCCUUGAAUGUGUGGGGACUUUAUGAGGACCCCAAAUAUCACAAUGUAAUAAAUCAAAAGGAGCAUGAGUUGAUAUAGUGCUUAAAGGAAAAGGAAAUCUAGUCUGUUUAGCCAUAGGGCAAACAUUACAAUUAUUCUCAAAAGAUAUGUUGUUUGGAGACAAUAAAGGAGAACAUAAUUUGAGGCGAGAUGUAGAUGGGUGUCCAAGACGCAUGUGCCAUAUGUUUGAGGGCUGAGAAACUUGAUGAGAGACAUGUAUUUUUUGUAAUGGAGACAUGUAAUAAAGACCACCACAUUGUUCACCCGAGCCAAUCGUCUUCCCCAUAGCCAAGUCCUGCAACACACAAAAGUCAGGAAACAAAAUGACACAACAAUUUAGAGAUUUGGUGAGCUUGCUAACAGACAUCAAGUUUAACCGAAAUGAAGGAACACACAAAACAUUUUUUAAGGUUAUAUUGGAAUUGAAUGACAUGUCUCCAAUAGAUGUGAUUGGAGCAGAAGACCCAGUAGGUAAAUUGACAGAAGGUAUGGAUGGAAAUUUUGUUUCAGAGAGAAAUGUAGAAUCAGAUGUGAUAUGAUCGGUAGCUCCACUGUCCAAAAUCCAAGGCUUGGUGAAUACAGAAUUAAUUGAGGCAUUAGAGAAAAGAGACAGACCUGCAGCAUUUGCAUGAGCAUUGCUAUUACCAGAGGUAUUGUUUGGAGACAUCAUAUUCAAUGCGCGGGCAAGUUGCUGAAGCUGUUCUGCAGAUAGCUCAAGUGCAUUUUUGGAAGAAUCUGCUGCAUUGGCAGCAGAGAAAGUCCUAGGUGCAGUGCUUCGAGGCCCUUGUUGUCGCUGUUGUGAUUGGAUGUGCUUGUUGCUUUGAGUUCCUGUGUUGUAAGUCCCAUUUUUAAUUCUGCAUCGAUCCUCUGUGUGCCCGUUUUUAUUGCAAAAAUCGCAAUAAAAUUUUAGAGUCCGACAAUUGCUAAUUGUAUGGCCAUCUCUAUUGCAGUGCUCACAGUGUUUGUCUUUGACAAAUUUGUUGGAGAGGCUGUCUGGAUGACUAUGGAUUGCAGCGGCAAUGGAGAAAUUCUCCGUUGUUUCGGAAGUCAUCUGGCGCUGUGUCUCAUCUUGAAUGACUAGAGAGUAGGCCUGUCGCACAUUGGGUAAUGGUGACAUCAUGAGAAUGUUGGUGCGAACAGUGCUGUAGGUAUCAUUAAGACCCAUGAGAAAUUGCAUCAAGCGAUCUUCUUCCCUUUGUUCAUCAUGUGCUUUCAUCUGGUUGCAAGUAGGAAGAGUGCGGUAUGUUUCUAAUUCAUCCCAAAGGCCUUUGAUUUUUGUAAAGUACGUUGAGGCAGCCAUGGUGCCUUGGGAUAUAGAGGCUAAGGACUUUUGAAUCCGAUAUAUUGCUGGAGCAUUCUUUUGUGAGAACUGAUCUUUAAAAUCUUCCCAAACCUGAUGUGCAGUCUUGGCAUGAAUGACUCCCUUGGCUAAAUUGGGUUCUACAGAAUGGGUGAGCCAUGAUAAAAUCAUGCUGUUACACCGAUUCCAUAGGGCAUGCUCUGCAGAUUGAUCUACUGCUGAUGGUGCUUUGAUGGAUCCAUUGAUAAAGCCUAUUUUGUUUUUGGCUGUGAGGGCAUGGAUCAUCGAUAUACUCCAUGAUGGGUAAUUGGUGCCAUUCAGUUUUAUUGGGACAAGCAAAUGACCAGGGUGAUCUGAAGGAUGGAUAUAGUAUGGAUUUGAGGAAUCCAUAUUAGAACUGUUGUUAUUUGAAUUGUUGCUACUGCUAUUUGGUUGUUUUUGAGGUGAAUUUUUUGAUGGUAUUUCAUUUUCUAGAUCGUGCUCUGAUGCCAUCUUAAGACAGCAAUGUAAAGAUGUAGGGUAUGAUAAUAGCAAGGCAAAUUGAAAUAGAAUAUGUAUAUUAUUAUUUCAUUGAUCCUUUGCAUGAUAUAUAUAAUACAUGUACAAGAAUGUUCUAUACCAAUUCUAAGGCAUGACAGACGUGAUCCAUAA